rnacentral:lncRNA from 1 species
CAGGCCGGGACUGACAGGAGCGCGUGCAGAGGUCAUCGUUGCUCCCGUGCACGACCCAACGGCUCCACUCGCGGUCCCCCACGUAGAGCAUCACCGUUCGCAGCGCGUUGUUGCCGUAAUUGAAGUACAGCCGCAUCCCGGCCAGCGCCAGCAGCCCUCCGUCCCCGCACUCCCACCGCUGCAGCCCUCCGUCCUCCCGGCACGGCCUCAACUCCACGACGGACAGAUUCCUCCCCGCCGCCGCCGUGACGCACCGCCGCCGCUCCGCGUUCCACAGCCGCUUCCCCGGCAGCCACUGGAAGCGUUGCGCGGCCGCUUCGGGACGGCACGGGGCCGCCGUCAGCUGCUGCCCCCGCGCCUCCACGCACAUAUUGUGAGCUCUGUUGUACAGCAGGAAGGAGCGGGACGCUGCGGGGGAGGCGACGGGAGAGGAGGAACACGUUGAGCAGCACCGAGACCCCCAGGGCCACGGCGCCCACCAGCAGCAGCCUGUCCUGGGGGCAGCUCUGCCGUGCCGGGGACACUGAGGGAGGUGACAGUGGGUCCUGAUGGGGGCCGCAGGACCCCAAUUUGGGCUGCAUUGCCACGUCCCUAUGGGACACCCACGCCGUACCUGGGGGGUCAGGCUCCUGUCCCCCAUUCCUGCCCAGGCUGCCCGGACUCGAUGUUGCCAUACAUCGUCCUCUUUGUCACCACUGAGCUGUCCCCAUGUCUGUCCUCUUUGAUAAGAGCUGAGAAAAGGGGGGGGGGGACGGGGGACCAGAUGUGCCCCCCCACCCAGGGGGUGGGCCUCAAAGGGCCCCCCCGGCACCCACAGCUCCAUCCCCCCACCCCAGGGCUGGGCUGGAGGUGACGCUGACGGUGACGGUCCACAAUGCGGGGACAGGAAGGACUGGGGGACACCCAUAAUGGCAUCUGG